rnacentral:lncRNA from 1 species
AAAAUUGCCAAAGACGGGUUCUUCCCCUCUGAUCUCUACUCUUAGAUAACUGAUAACAUUGACAAUGUUUUCAGUCUCCAAGUUGAUGAUACAAAAUAGAGUACAACUUUUGGUUUAAUUUGCUGGAGACUACAGAAGAAACGAAAUUGUAUAGUGUUUGGGAUUGACAGUCACGACAUUGACAUGUUACUUGCUCAAAGCCUAAGGUGGGCACGAACUAUUAAACUGAACAAGAGACUGGCUUUUUCCAAUCCUAAAAGAAGCAUUCACAACAUUGGUCUGAGAAUUCCUGGAGCUGACUGGAUCAAGUUAAACAACAACAGGCAGUGAAGACUUGCUCCAAUUUUUUCUUGAAUUAGAUUGCUUUGCAUCAGAAAAUCACCCUACAGCUUAAUUACUAGCAAUCAG